rnacentral:misc_RNA from 1 species
CGUGAUUCAAGGUGUAAAAUAAAUAAAAUUUUAUAUUUAUAUGUUAAAUUUAUAAUAAAUCAUACUUGACAUGGCUUAAAAAAAAUUUUCAAAAGAAGACAAAAGGGAAACAUCAAACAUCCAUUCAAAGUCAAAGAAUUGGAGAUAAAUAAUGAAAAAACUUUGGUAAGAUGCAAGAUAUAAACCAUGAUUCUUGCAAAAAUAUA